UCUUCCUUAGCUCAGUUGGUUAGAGCAUCUGACUGUUAAUCAGAGGGUCGCUGGUUCGAGCCCAGCAGGAAGAG
rnacentral:tRNA from 2 species